UGACAAACCGGAGGAAGGNGGGGANGACGUCAAGUCCUCAUGGCCCUUAUGGGUAGGGCUUCACANGUCAUACAAUGGUCGGAACAGNGGGUCGCCAACCCGCGAGGGGGAGCCAAUCCCAGAAAACCGAUCGUAGUCCGGAUCGCANUUUGCAACACGAGUGCGUGAAGCUGGAAUCGAUAGUAAUCGCGGAUCAGCAUGCCGCGGUGAAUACGUUUCCCGGGUNUUGUACACACCGCCCGUCACACCAUGGGAGUGGGUUU
rnacentral:rRNA from 1 species